rnacentral:lncRNA from 1 species
GGUAACCCCCUUGGAUCCCCUUCCACACUGUGGGAGGUUUGUUCUUUUGCUCUUUGCAAUAAAGCUUGCUGCUGCUCACUCUUUGGGUCCAGACUGUCUUUAUGAGCUAUAACACUCACCGGGAAGGUCUGCAGCUUCACUCCUGAAGCCAAGGAGACCACGAACCCACCGGGAGGAAGGAACAACUACAGACACGCCGGCUUAAGAGCUGUAGCACUCACUGCGAAGGUCCGCAGCUUCACUCUUGAGCCAGAGACCACGAACCCACCAGAAGGAAGAAACUCCAAACACAUCCGAACAUCAGAAGGAAAAAACUCCAGACACGCCGCCUUUAAGAACUGCAACACUGCGAGGGUCCGCGGCUUCAUUCUUGAAGUCAGUGAGACCAAGAACCCACCAAUUCCAGACACACUACCAAAGGCAGAGGGGAGCUCCUAGACAAAGAUAUUUUGCUUACAAAUGGAACAUAUCAAAUCAAGCUUUUGUGAACUUGAGGGAAGAAACAAAGAAUAUGAAGCCUAAAUGGAAGUGUCAGGAAAUGGUCGCCUUGCGGACAAGGAAACAGCAGCCUGGAAGGCCAGGAGAGGGCAGACUACCCACCUAACCCUCUGCAGAAUUUUGUGUGGACCCUGGAGACCAGAAACUAACUUCUCCUGCAGGUAUAUGUUCCCCCAUGCCGGCCAGAAAGCACAGAGAAGGAACACUUCUCCCUGGGUCCUUAGGAUCGGACAGCUGGCUUUAGUCCCAACCAGUCAUAUCAAUAAUAAAUAUUGCUAUUUUAAUACUAGCAACAAUGAUAUAAAUUAUGGUCAUUAUCCUUUCCUCACAUUUCAAACCCUAAAUCACAUCCUAUGAAACAAAUUAGACAAAGAUAACCAAUAGAGUCCACUUUAAUGUGGGGAUUUUUUUUCAAUGUAUUUAUGUUCUUUAUAUCCUCUGUUUUAGAAAAUAUUUCUUGAAAUAUAAUUUUGCUAUGUCUGUUUCCUUAAUCCUAGAUAUUGUAUAGUCUUUGUAUGUCAAUUUGUGGUGUAACUAAGGCAAUUGAAAAAUACAGUUGACUGAGAAUAACUAAAAUAUUGAUUAAAUACAAUCGGCCUCCUUUUUAGGAAACUGGCCUUUUCUGAGCCAUCCAACAGUUUCUAAAUAGUACAAUAGAUAGAACAAUGAAAAAAAUAAAAAAAAACUUUAAAA